rnacentral:rRNA from 1 species
AAAUUGAAGAGUUUGAUCAUGGCUCAGAUUGAACGCUGGCGGCAGGCCUAACACAUGCAAGUCGAACGGUAACAGGAAUCAGCUUGCUGAUUCGCUGACGAGUGGCGGACGGG